AUGACAACAAUAAAAUGACUGUGUCAUUCGUCGAAAAUGAAGUAUUGAUUUCGUGACGUCAUUUAUCGGCCAUUUUCUCGACCCGGCGUGCAAAGCAAAGACAUAAUUAAAUUUUAAAAGCCAAAAACGCUUAGUUGGAAGUGUCUGGAAUUUUUUUUCAAGAACUCAAGUUUUUUGAUAGGCUGACAGAAACAUACAGAUUUUUCCCAGAGAAGAAAGUUUU